UACGGGGGGGGCAAGCGUUGUUCGGAAUCACUGGGCGUAAAGCGCACGUAGGCGGACUCUUAAGUCGGUGGUGAAAUCCUGGAGCUCAACUCCAGAACUGCCUUCGAUACUGAGAGUCUCGAGUCCGAGAGAGGUGAGUGGAACUGCGAGUGUAGAGGUGAAAUUCGUAGAUAUUCGCAAGAACACCAGUGGCGAAGGCGGCUCACUGGCUCGGUACUGACGCUGAGGUGCGAAAGCGUGGGGAGCAAACAGG
rnacentral:rRNA from 1 species